rnacentral:rRNA from 1 species
GACGAACGCUGGCGGCGUGCUUAACACAUGCAAGUCGAACGGUGAACGAGGGAGCUUGCUCCCUCCGGAUCAGUGGCGAACGGGUGAGUAACACGUGAGCAAUCUGCCCCGAACUCUGGGAUAAGCGUUGGAAACGACGUCUAAUACCGGAUACGACGCGGGAGGGCAUCCUCUCCGCGUGGAAAGAACUUCGGUUCGGGAUGAGCUCGCGGCCUAUCAGCUUGUUGGUGAGGUAACGGCUCACCAAGGCGACGACGGGUAGCCGGCCUGAGAGGGUGACCGGCCACAUUGGGACUGAGAAACGGCCCAGACUCCUACGGGAGGCAGCAGUGGGGAAUAUUGCACAAUGGGCGCAAGCCUGAUGCAGCAACGCCGCGUGAGGGACGACGGCCUUCGGGUUGUAAACCUCUUUUAGCAGGGAAGAAGCGAAAGUGACGGUACCUGCAGAAAAAGCACCGGCUAACUACGUG